GAGUUUGAUCCUGGCUCAGAGUUAACGCUGGCGGCGUGCCUAACACAUGCAAGUCGAGCGAAGAGUGGCAGAGUAUCGCGCUCUUAGCGGCAGACGGGUGAGUAACACUUAAACAAUCUGCCCUCGAAUGGGAGACAACCAAGCGAAAGUUUGGCUAAUACCCCAUACAAUCCUCUCCAGGCAUCUGGAGGGGAUGAAAGGCCCGCAAGGGUCGUUCGAGGAGGAGUUUAAGUCCUAUCAGCUAGUUGGCGGUGUAACAGACCACCAAGGCUAUGACGGGUAGCCGAUCUAAAAGGAUGACCGGCCACAAGGGCACUGAGACACGGGCCCUACUCCUACGGGAGGCAGCAGUGGGGAAUUUUGCGCAAUGGGGGAAACCCUGACGCAGCAACGCCGCGUGAGUGAUGAAGGCUUUCGGGUCGUAAAGCUCUGUCAGAGGGGAAGAAAUGGGUCGUGUUAAUAUCACGACUUCUUGACGGUACCCUCAAAGGAAGCACCGGCUAACUCCGUGCCAGCAGCCGCGGUAAUACAAGGRCGAAUUGGAAACAUAUCGUCCCAYGAKUCSGGAUYCMCWGSCCGUCGUURUACARCCAAUGAAACAGCUAGAKCAYCG
rnacentral:rRNA from 1 species